CUGCAGCCGAGGGGAGUCCUCGAUAGCCGCCAGGUGUCAUGCAUGGCUGAGCUCGAGCUCGCGGUCCACCGCUUAGCUCGAGCUCGCGGUGCACCGCUGAGCUCAAGCUCGCGAUGCAUGACAAUUGGGGGCCCUGCCAGUGCAUAGAUCUGGCCUAGUCUGUCGUGCUGGUAUGGGAGGCUCAGGCAGCCUGGUUGCUUCAGAGCCUGUAUAUAUUGCUGCUUCUUUUUUUCUUUCUUUUCUUUUCUUUUCUAUCCUCUUGCUUUCUUUCUUCACUGCGUGCAUACAUUUAUCUACAUUUAUGGAUAUUUAUGUACGUCCAUGUACAUUUAUGUACUUUUAUGUAUAUUUAUAUACGUGAAUGUAUAUUUAUGUCGGUUUAUGUACAUCUGCGCUGCGCGGGGCGCAAUUGACUGAGAUGACUGCCUGCAGACAUGUCCCGAACAGGACUAAAUCCAGGACAAGUUGUAACAGGCAAACAGUGUAGGUGUUAAAGUACUUGUAACCCAGUAGAGAAUUGGGUCCAAUUAUAUCUUUAUUUUUCCAUAGUUUCCUCAUUUAUCUCAUUUUCAUUUGUUAAUCAAUCUGUCAAUGACUUAUUUUACACACACAGUCCUUAUUUGUCAUAUCAACUAGAGCAAACUUAUGAUUGCUUAGAGGGAGUUAAGUCCCACCCUCUCUUUACGCAGAAGUCAGUGAGUUGCAGUGCGGGUAAAACAGCAGCGGUCGGAGUGGAUGAGAAAUAGAGAGUUAGAACAGCGAUUAUUAACAUAUCCAUGAGAUAAAAUACUCUUCUGAAGACGUCAGAGGUGUGCGAGGGUCCGUGAGCCAGGAGUAGUAGUACUUUUGGCAUUAUCGUCUCGGCUGGGUUUUUUUGAGAACUAGAGAACUGGAUCUGGAUUCUCCCUGUGGAUGGGAGAUGGCGAGCCCUCAGUGAGAUCUCUUCUUAACCUAAGGAGUGAGGAACCGAGACCUGAGAAGAGGACCUGGUAUCUUUUUUUGCUUCCACUCAAGUAUCAGUGUGGUAGGACCACCACACAUCCGACUACUUGAAUUUUUCCCCCUGACUUGACAUAAAACAUUGACUUGAGCGCGCUGACUGAUAUGGCAAAGACAUUAAAGGGACAUUACACUCAUGGACACUUUCAAUUCAAGUUCUGCUGAAAGACUGUGAAAUCUUGAGAUAUUGAUGAUAAUUGCACUGCAUUUUAUGUUCAUGUUUUAUAAGUUGGUACAGUAAACUUACCUCAAACGUU